UAUUUAUUUUCAAAAGUCACACCAUGGCACGAUUUCCGGUCUGCAAGCUUCGUCUAUCCCUUUUUUAUGCUGUCUUUUUGAGCGAAAUGGAGUUUCUUCUUAAUUUGGGUCUCGUCAAAAUAUACCCUACUUAAGCUUUCUUUCUGGAGCCAGUACUAUCUUCAACUGCAGCAAUAUUCUUCUAUCAUCCCGAAAGGAUCUUCUAUACAACCAUUAUUUGACACCCUUGCCAAAAUUGAAAAGGAAUAACAGGUAAAGGAAUGACAGCAGGCCAAUCGCAAAAUAAAUGAGACAUUUAAAGGCUCGUGAAUCUUCGGACUGAAAAGUAAAGAUUACCAUCCAUCACAUCUAUCAUUUCAAUUGCGCUUUGUAAACCAUAUCCCGGGUACGAAACAUCAACCACUGGUUUCCAUGCACAAUUGAAAUUGUACGCAAUGCGUCAAGAAAACCAGUAGAAACAUAAGCUGUGGAAGAUAGAACACUGAAGAAAGGUCUGUAAACACGAGGAGAAACUUUGGAAACGUUUUUGCAGCGACGAAUUAUCAGUGAGUUCAAUAAGAUUGACCGAAAUCAUUUCACAAGACAUCGAGCGUGCUGUUAUCAAAGAUGGCGAUUUCAAAUCAUUCUUAUUAAGCUCACGGAAAGGAUGAAAAGGAAACAACGCAUGUAAGGAGGAUGUUUUUAAGAAACGGAAACAGAUUUAGAACCACUAAAAGAAGACGUUAACACCACAAUCAUCGGUGAUUUGAAUAAGAUUUGACUGAAAUCAUAGCAGCUUUAUAUCAAAGAAUCAACAAGACCACCUAUGAUGGUGAUUUCAGUUUUAGCUGAUUUAAAUCAUGGAAAGGCAUUAUCGUUAAAAAACGAUAUUUUAUCAUCCGGUUUCAUCAAUGAUUUGAAUAGGAUGCUAUUGGAAUCAUUUAAAUACACACAAAGGCACCGUGAAUUACCAUCAAUGAUGAUUUCACGAUCAUCUUAUUUGGGUCAUGGAUAAGAAACACAGAUUUGUAGAGAAAUGCUUUAACACGAAAACCUCUAAAGCAUUUAAGUAUAUUUUUAUUUAGGUUACAAAUAUGGAGUAAAAAUAUGAAAAAGGCGAUCACCGUGAAAACGGAAAUGCACAACUUUGAAAGUCAAGAAAUUCUACAUUCUGACGUACCAGCGACAACACAAAUCAAUCUGACACUGAAUUGAAGAAAGGACGAUCUAACAUGUAUUGAUAAUUUUAAAGAUAAUCAGAUACCAGCAAUUGAGAUUGAAAAACAGCAUUAGUAAAUACUCGAUUUGGAUGGAUCUGGAACAAGAACUAGUAUUACCGGUGUAUUUUAUGAGGCCGAUAAAAAAAACCUUUUCUCUUGGCCUGAUAAAAGCCAUGGAAAGGACAUAAACGUAAUGAAGACGUAGAAGAAUUUUCAGCUUUGCCGUUGAUUUUUCUCGAUGUGUUGCGUUCGCCGAUGGUGCAACACCGACGAAUUCACCGCAGCCAGGAAAAUCAUGUACUUGGCGAGAACCGAUGCGCGCCAUCUUGUGAUAUGUGUUGUGUUGUGUCAGUGCGUAGACUUUUGGCAAAAUCUUCGGACUAUGAUCAGAAAAAAACCAUCAGUGAAUAGGUGCGAAAGCGACUUUGCUUGCAGGCAUCGGUUCAGGAAUUCAGGAUUGACUUUUAUUUACAUGAUCAGGUAUUUUUGCAGUCAUUACUUAUUUUAACAAUUAUUAUUUAGUAUCUAGUAUCUACAGUAAUUAAUUGUAGCUCAGCAGAUUUGUCCGACCCGCAGGGCUUUAUACUGUGUGCUCGACUUUGUUGGAGAUAACAACUAAUACGACCGGGUCGGACUAGUAUACUGUGCUAUAACUAAAUUAUCCUCUAAAUAUUUUGUAUUCAAAUGUGUAUUUCAAAAAUUAUUUGUCAUAUUUAAUUGUAUUCUUUAGACGUAUAUUGUUGAACGAUUUGUUGUAUUGAGACUUCUUAUAAGAACUUAAAAUUUUAUCUUGUACCGAUUGACCACUUUAAUAUUUGUCUGUCAUCUUGAUUACAAGAUUCUACUCUUCGGCAUACAAUAUUUGACCUCAUUUCUUUAACAUUAGCGUCAAUUUAGGCGGGAUGAGAGAGCAGGUUCAUUUUCUAGUAAGCUGACCAUGAAGGUGUUCUUGCGUGCUUGUCCUGACUGUAAUUUUCGCGCGGCUUUGGCGCCCGCGCCACUCGCUCGACUAUGCUUGUGGCGUUGAGUGAUUCUCGGCACAGUCCGGGUUGGAGCGCUGCGGAGGGCAAGCUGUAGCGAGCGAACUGAAAUGAGGCUGAGAAAGCCAGACAACACUGUCCUUGACACUGGUCGCCAGCCCAAGAAUAUACUACUUAUAACAGCUUUGACACGCCGCUAGCUUUCACGCCGCAGUCCGCCGACGGAAUCGAGUUGAUGAACUCUGUGACGACUGUCUUGUUCGCGUCGCUGAAUUCCUUUAUAUUCAGUACGUACGUUGAGCAUAGCCUUGAGAACAGUGGAGCCGCCGUGAUUACUUCCAAUAUAGCUAUACCAAAUAGUUGAAAGAUUUUUUUAUUGGAAAUUAACUCAAGGUUGCUGAAGUUAAAGCGAUAGUUGUAGCAACUUUAUCGCUUGCCGUUUUUGCCACUACAUUACAAAUCAGCGAAGGGCUGUCUAUCCGUGUCUAUCAUGAAUCGUCAACAUCUUGAAUCAACGUACAUCCAACUUGGUGGUAAACGGUAAUCAGCACUAUUAAAAGUAUAUUUCUAAUGUCUUUAUUUCCGAAUUUACUCCGAAAUUAAUUACUUUAAGAGCAGUGUUAAAGACGACUCAGAUAUUUGCGUCAGCUGCAACUAUUGGAAACGAGAUGCAUAAUUGCACCCUAGGUGACAAUGGAGGUUAAUCUGUUUUGAUUCUGCAAUUUAUUUCCUAUGGAGUCACUGUUCUGUAGCUAAAUGGUGGAACUUGAUGGGUGCUCCAUACGCCUCUCGGUGUCGUUAAGGUCAUGGAUUGUUCCGAGUCCAAGGUGCUUGAUCCACAUGAGGCGGCAACUUUCGUGCCAAGCCGGGCUCGGCGGUGAACUCGAGUGACUACUCACCUCGUUUCUUAUGAUGAGUCGAUCUAACACUGUAUCGUACUAUCUCUUUGCUAGCGGGCUUAGAAACUAACAUCUUUCCUGCUCGUGCGGUCUUGUAUCUACAAAGUAUCAGUCGGUGAUUCGUAGGUAAAUCAUAUUUUUACCGAAAGCACAUGAAUUUUUGGUAAAAUUGCUAGCUCCAAAAUAUUCUCUAAAACAACUCCAAACCGAUUUUACUCUUAGAUAUUAUGUGCUUUUAGGAAAAUAUAUUUACAUGUUCUUUUUUUUAGUCUUUUGUGGUCUUUCGGACGCUAAAGUUUCAUGUUGAUUUAGGCGCUCGUUUUCGAAAUUUUGCAUUAUUUUUAUAUUUGCGUUUUGGUCCCGCGUAGUCUAAAGCAGAUAUAGGCACUAGAACAGAUACAAAAAAGAUUUUGGUAAAAGUAACAGAACGGAAUAUUUUGAUGGUUUCAGUUAGUUUUGAUGUAUUUAUUCAGGUUUGAUGUAAUUAUUUCUAUUCUGUGGCCUUUGUUAGGUUUGAUGUAAUAAGUUUACAGGCUAUUUUAUUAACGGUUAGGCAUAUGGCAAAAUCCGUCACAUUUCAAAUCCCAGUAUCUUAAUUUAACGAUUUUUGUUGGCUGCUUCAUUAGGUGUCAAUUUUUUUAAAUAUUUACCACGCACGCAUUUCUCCAACGCAUUCAUUUGUGGACAUUUGUUGUAUAUAUUUUAGUAUUAUUUUUCGACUAUUGUCGUGAAGUCUCUUUGGUAGAUUUUGGAGUUUA
rnacentral:lncRNA from 1 species